rnacentral:rRNA from 1 species
GUUGUUUUUCCGAAAAUCAAUUACGAAUGGCUUGAUUUUGUGUUGUAUUGACCUUAUCAGCUUUCUUCACUUUUUUCGAGUCUUUCUUAAUGCACUUUUCGGUUAACAAGUCAACAUCAAUUUCUUUUGUUGUAAAAGGGCCGGCGGAAGGUGGCUUUCUUUUCGGAGAAAGUGUUUAUAGCCCUAUACUUCUACAAUCGGAGAGAUUGAGGUCUGCAGCGUAGAUCCUUCGGGGUUAGAUACACUUGUGCUAAGUUGUAGCUUUUCAUAGACAACUUGUUGACUAUGUUUAGUCUUGCGGCUUACUCGCUUGUGCUAUUUUACCUAC